CGGCUAACUCCGUGCCAGCAGCCGCGGUAAUACGGAGGAUGCGAGCGUUAUCCGGAUUUUUGGGUUUAAAGGGAGCGUAGGCGGGAUAUUAAGUCAGUCGUCAAAGCCUGUGGCUCAACACAGCCCGCGAUUGAUACUGGUAACCUUGAGUGCGGAUGAGGUGGAUGGAAUUCGUGGGUAGCGGUGAAAUGCUUAGAUAUCACGAAGAACUCCGAUUGCGAAGGCAGUUCACUGGGCGCAACUGACGCUGAAGCUCGAAAGUGCGGGUAUCAAACAGGAUUAGAUACCCUGGUAGCCGCACCGUAAACGAUGGAUACUCGCUGCCGGCGAUACACAGUCGGUGGCCACGCGAAACCUUAAGUAUCCCACCUGGGGAGUACGCCGGCAACGGUGAAACUCAAAGGAAUUGACGGGGCCCGCACAAGCGGAGGAACAUGUGGUUUAAUUCGAUGAUACGCGAGGAACCUUACCCGGCUUGAACUAUGGUGGACCGUUCCAGAGAUGGAUCUUCCCUUCGGGGCCGCCAUGGAGUGCUGCAUGGUUGUCGUCAGCUCGUGCCGUGAGGUGUCGGCUUAAGUGCCAUAACGAGCCAACCCUUUCCGUUAGUUGCCAUCAGGUAAUGCUGGGGACUCAAUCGGUACUGCCAUCGAAGAUGUGAGGAAGGUGGGGAUGACGUCAAAUCAGCACGGCCCUUACGUCCGGGGCUACCACGUGUUACAAUGGGGGGUACAGAGGGCUGCCACCUGGUGACAGGGAGCCAAUCCCGAAACCUCUCUCAGUUCGGACUGGAGUCUGCAACCCGACUCCACGAAGCUGGAUUCGCUAGAAUCGCGCAUCAGCCAUGGCGCGGUGAAUACGUUCCCGGGCCUUGCACUCACCGCCCGU
rnacentral:rRNA from 1 species